rnacentral:lncRNA from 1 species
GGGUAGGUGAAAAAAAUAAGGGGGGGGGGGGGUACAAUUUUUCUCAUUUCAGAUUUCAGAAAUUAAAAAGAAAAUUUCUUCAAAUAUUUGUUUAGAAGCGAUUAAUAUUCAACAGCAUAGUGGAUUGCUCAAAAGCAAAAAAUAAAAUUGAAGUUUGUUAGACCACAUUCAUUCUGUGUCAUAAAUCCUAUGUUGUGUCAACUAUUUAAUCACAAUCCAAAUUCAGAGCUAUCACAAGCUUGAAUGUAGUGUCCAUACUUGUCCCAACUAUUCAGGGUUUGACCUCUGCGGUCGAAUAUAGCUGCGCCCUGCGGAGCAUCUGGUUUAAACUAAAUACCCUAGUGAUGAUUGUGGACAAGUUUGGUUAAAAUUGGGCCAUUAGUUUCAGAGAAGAAGAUUUUUUUAAAAGUUAACAGACGACGACGACGACGGACGACGGACGACGGACGACGGACGACGGACCAAGUGAUGAGAAAAGCUUACUUGACCUUUCAAGUCAGGUGAGCUAAAAAUGUACCUAUUUAUUAGCAUAUGAUAGUCAUAUUUCACGGAGUCUAAUAAACAGCUUGAUUAUCAUUGAAUAGAAGGAGUAGUUGGUAACAUAACUAGAAUAAUUUGAAGUAAAAGUUAAGAAAUCAGAAGAUAGUACUGUAACAAAAUCGG